AGCUUUGCGCAGUGGCAGUAUCGUAGCCAAUGAGGUUUAUCCGAGGCACGAUUAUUGCUAAUUGAAAGAUAGCAUAUUUCACUUCGUUUUUUUAAGGUUUUUGCCUUAGGGCAUGUGUGCUCCUGGGCA
rnacentral:snRNA from 1 species